UUGAAAACAGCUUAGGAGAGAAAUUUGGAGUUCAAGGUUAUCCAACAUUGAAGUUUUUCUCAAGUGGUCAACCCAGUGAAUACCAAGGUGGCAGAUCGGCCUCCGACAUUGUUAACUGGUUGAAAAAGAAGACUGGUCCACCGUAUACUUGAUGAUGUUGCUGCUGCUAAGAAAUUUGCUGAAUCUAUUGAUGUUGUUAUUGGAUUCUUCAAGGUGACCGACAAUAACACCAACACGGCCCCAGCAAAAUAAGAAAUACAAACACAUGAGUACAGACAGUAGCUUUGUAUUCAGCUAAAUGCCAAUUAUCUGCUGACUUACCUUUGCUGCAUUGUUUAUGGCCAUCAAAUUUUAAUGCCUGAAAUAAGUAAGCUAUGU